GACGAACGCUGGCGGCGUGCUUAACACAUGCAAGUCGAACGGAAAGGCCCUGCUUUUGUGGGGUGCUCGAGUGGCGAACGGGUGAGUAACACGUGAGUAACCUGCCCUUGACUUUGGGAUAACUUCAGGAAACUGGGGCUAAUACCGGAUAGGAGCUCCUGCUGCAUGGUGGGGGUUGGAAAGUUUCGGCGGUUGGGGAUGGACUCUCGGCUUAUCAGCUUGUUGGUGGGGUAGUGGCUUACCAAGGCUUUGACGGGUAGCCGGCCUGAGAGGGUGACCGGCCACAUUGGGACUGAGAUACGGCCCAGACUCCUACGGGAGGCAGCAGUGGGGAAUAUUGCACAAUGGGCGGAAGCCUGAUGCAGCAACGCCGCGUGCGGGAUGACGGCCUUCGGGAUGUAAACCGCUUUCGCCUGUGACGAAGCGUGAGUGACGGUAAUGGGUAAAGAAGCACCGGCUAACUACGUG
rnacentral:rRNA from 1 species